rnacentral:rRNA from 1 species
UACAGGGGGGGGCAAGCGUUGUCCGGAAUCACUGGGCGUAAAGGGCGCGUAGGCGGCCUGAUAAGUAGGGGGGUGAAAUCCUGCGGCUUAACCGCAGGGGCUGCCUUCUAAACUGUCAGGCUAGAGCACAGUAGAGGCAGACGGAAUUCCGGGUGUAGCGGUGGAAUGCGUAGAGAUCCGGAGGAAGACCGGUGGCGAAGGCGGUCUGCUGGGCAGUUUCUGGACACUUGAGGCGCGACAGCGUGGGGAGCAAACAGGG